rnacentral:rRNA from 1 species
GGGACCUCUAGUCAGGCGG